CAGCCGAAGAUCGUGAACCUGGUGCAGAGAACCUUUUCCUGACGUCGACUCGGUGUACUUGGUUUUACAGAUGUGAACAGCAACUCAUCACGAUCAGGGAUCGUCACUCUUCGAUCCAGUUCUUUUUGUUCUCGCUAUGCCUGGGGUCGCCUUUAUGGUGGUGGAGGAGAAGAACGGAGCUAAACAGAUCAACCGGCUCGUGUAGACCAGAUACCUAAACCUUUACUUUUGUGGACAUUGAAUUCUGGUGAGAAGCCAAGCGGCCAGGGAGAACUGGACUUGCAGCCGUGAUCAGGCAUACAGUACACAUUCAUAUGACACGUGGUGGACAUUGCUGGUCCACGUUUGAAGUAUUUACGUGUGCACGGCAGUCGAUUCAUCCAAACCAGUUUUGGUCAUUUGAAAGCCCGAAUUAGGGCUUAUAAUCCCACUAGAAACUUGAAAGGAUGGGGUUUAGAUCUGGUAAGCCUGCUUCUUCAUACAAUUUGCCAUGACAUACUACGUAGUAACUUUUCUAGUUUUGUAAGACCUGGCUGGAUUCCUUAUUCCCUGUCCUUAGACUUUUCCGGCUUCAAAUUUGGCAAGGAAUAAUUGCACAAUUCGCGCACUGCAAGAUGAUAUCUCUAACUAUACAUUGGAGAAAGGAAAGGGUUAGAGUGCCAGUAUACGUAUUGUCCCCUGGCUGAAUGGACGAGAAAUUUGUUCUUUCUGCAUUGGUAGAUGCAAAAUCUGAAGUUACCUGCGUAUUGCUGGCUGCACAUUAACCGCUGUGUCGGAGGUUGUCGCCUGCAACUGCAUCGCCUCGAGCUGGCUGUUACGUUCCUUUCUGCAAAACAAAAUGUGAGAAUUGCAUGUAUACACAAAGCCAAUCAGGAAUUAGACCGGUAGGAAAUACUGACAUUACUUUCUGAAAGA